AGAAUCCUGGGAGCUGUAGUUCAUUCAGGGAGCUGGGAUUUUAGCUCUGUGAUGAGUGAACUACAGUUCCCAGGAUUCU